rnacentral:lncRNA from 1 species
AAGAAAGGGCAUGGGUCGCCUGAGCCGUUCCAUGGAGAUUCGCCCCUUGAUGCUUUUCGGAAACCCGCCGUUUUAACACGUAGAUGCGCUUUUCCCAUGGGGCGAGCAAGAGAACAGGGGACGACGGCGCGUGACUCUGCUGCGCUAGUACGCAUGCUCCCUGUCCUUGCCUACAGCCGGCAACGCCCCGCCAAGAACGCCAUCAAAACCUGUCGUCUUUGGCGCGGUUCUCCUCAAAUGCUGAUUCGAUCUCGCAAGUGACUUCUUCCCUUCUCCGUUUUCCACUCUGUAGACGAGAGGAGAUGGGAAAUAAGCCCGACGCCAGAGUCUGUGUUGCUCUGGACGGCGAGCGUUCGGUAUCUGAGGGCACGUAACUCCGUGUCGCCACAACAGGCAGCAGUACCCCACGGAUACAUUUGAGCGCCGUUGUGCUUGUCGAUAUCGAUGUAACUCGAGAGAGCAGAUUUAUAGAAGCUUCGGGUAUGCUUUCUCUUGCAAGGGCGAAUGGAACUGGGAAGACUGCCGAAAACGCGCUCUCUAAGCUUCGUCGAGUUGUAGCAGAGACAGAACGGUGGUUUUAAGUAGUUUAUUGCAGAGGCGGCGAGGCAGAAUGAGCGGAAGAUGGGAAGACGAGACGUGUUACUGCCGUCACGGUGACAAGGAGCGACCACCGAGUUGGUUCUCGUGAGAGUGACCGAGUUUGUGUGGGUACCCCGACGCUACAUUCUUGCGACGACAAACAGACGUUUAUACCUAUGCUUUUUUCUACGCUUGUACGCGCCCGCCGCACUUCUUGUGAGCCUUCCGAAUCCUUCAGCAUCUUGUUUCAGAGUGGCUGUUCCUCACGGGCGACAGCGGUUUCUCGCUUCUGACGGUUGAGUCUCCUAGCCCCCAGG